AGAUCUAGUCCUAAAUUUCUUUAUAUCUAGAUGGGCAAAACUAUGAUCCAGCAUCAAAGAACUAAUGUGUGAUGGAACUGGAACCCCACAUCUAAACCUCUUCAGACAUCCAGACAUUAGUGUUCCUAUGUAGUGUGUGUGAAGUGACCACAAUUGUGGAAGGAAAUUCAAAGAUCCACUCCUGGGUACAGCUGAGGCUUUCCAGGAAAAAACAAAGAACAGAAAUAGUCACUGACUUUGGAACAGAGAUGAGGAAAUAAGAGGGACAUUAACUGCCAUCAAAGAAGCAGGACUUUUGUCAUCUCUGGAAGUAUUCUUUCACAUUU
rnacentral:lncRNA from 13 species